GAUGAACGCUGGCGGCGUGCUUAACACAUGCAAGUCGAACGAGAAGUGAAGACGGAAACCUUCGGGCGGAAGGCUUUAUUUCGAGUGGCGGACGGGUGAGUAACGCGUGGGUAACCUGCCUCAUACAGGGGGAUAACAGUUGGAAACGACUGUUAAUACCGCAUAAGACCACAGCACCGCAUGGUGCGGGGGUAAAAACUCCGGUGGUAUGAGAUGGACCCGCGUUCGAUUAGCCAGUUGGCGGGGUAACGGCCCACCAAAGCGACGAUCGAUAGCCGAUCUGAGAGGAUGACCGGCCACAUUGGGACUGAGACACGGCCCAAACUCCUACGGGAGGCAGCAGUGGGGAAUAUUGCACAAUGGGGGAAACCCUGAUGCAGCGACGCCGCGUGAGUGAAGAAGUAUGUCGGUAUGUAAAGCUCUAUCAGCAGGGAAGAAAAUGACGGUACCUGAGUAAGAAGCCCCGGCUAACUACGUG
rnacentral:rRNA from 1 species